GACGAACGCUGGCGGCGUGCUUAACACAUGCAAGUCGAACGGAAAGGCCCUGCUUGCAGGGUACUCGAGUGGCGAACGGGUGAGUAACACGUGGGUGAUCUGCCCUGCACUUCGGGAUAAGCCUGGGAAACUGGGUCUAAUACCGGAUAGGAGCCAUUUUUAGUGUGAUGGUUGGAAAGUUUUUUCGGUGUAGGGUGAGCUCGCGGCCUAUCAGCUUGUUGGUGGGGUAAUGGCCUACCAAGGCGGCGACGGGUAGCCGGCCUGAGAGGGUGGACGGCCACAUUGGGACUGAGAUGCGGCCCAGACUCCUACGGGAGGCAGCAGUGGGGAAUAUUGCACAAUGGGCGCAAGCCUGAUGCAGAGACGCCGCGUGGGGGAUGACGGCCUUCGGGUUGUAAACUCCUUUCGCUAGGGACGAAGCUUUUUGUGACGGUACCUAGAUAAGAAGCACCGGCUAACUACGUG
rnacentral:rRNA from 1 species